rnacentral:lncRNA from 1 species
GAGGAAUCUCUUUUGGAAGCAUCAGUAUUACUAGAUUUUUUUUUUCUUCUAUGAAUGAUGGGCUUCUAAGCUGGUACUGUCUUAAUUCAUUGUAGUUCCCUGGAAGUUAUAGUACUCUCCUUGUAUACUGGCACCUCAGUACCUGUGCACUCAGUAGUCUGCAAGGUGUGGUGGCACACAUCUGUAAUCCCAGCACUUGGGAGGCUGAGCCAGAAGGAUCAUGAGUUUGAGAACCCCUGCUCAGCACUCCCAUCCCUCCACUCUACAGCAGGGCAGGUGCUCCCCAGGAGCCUGUGGAGCUUACAGCUGUAUCCCCAGCAGUUUGCCAGGCUUGGUGCUACCAGUGUGGACAUGGAUGUCACUGGGACAGCUGGUCCCACUGCUUGACCCCCCUAGCUUGCUGCCUGCCCCCCUGCUCUGGACCAGUUUCCAUUAUACCUUCCUCCCAGACCCAGGUUGCUGCAUGAUCUUUACUUUUCCAAAGACGAGAUCCACAGUUUUACAGCAUAAUGAAGAACUGUCGUUUUCCUUUAUUCAGCUAGUUUCCUUUAUUCACCUAAAUUUGUGAUUGCUUAGAAAUUUUUAAGAGAAAAUUUUUGUAUGUAUUACAAUGUUAACUACAAUCCAGUCUUUACUUUCUUAAAUGAAAUCAAAUAUUCUGUGAGUACAGGUAACUUGUUGGCUUUAUUUUGUACCAUAACUUAUUUUACUACUAAUAUUUGACCUGGAAAAACAAUCAUAAUAAGUAACAAAUACAUAAAAUAUUCUUUGUUAUGAAUUACAGAUUUCCUUAUUAUUGAAAUUGUAUCACUGUUUUAAAAUAAGCAGCUAUGUUGUAUGACAUGAUAAAGAAAAUGAUCACUUUGAUCACAUUUCUAUGCUAUAAAUUAUUAGCAAUACAGAUUAAAUUUUACAUUGCACUUUUAACUCAGGAAAUGAUCAUUUAUGUCCUUGUUAUUGUUAAGACAUGGAAUGCUGUAACUUAUUGAAUUACCCAGAUAAUUUUGUGUAUACAUUUGGCAUUGAAUCAGUAGAAUAAAAUUAUUCUAUUAUUAUACUAUUAUUAAGUACUUUUUAAUCCUUGUGGUAAAAAUGUGGCUGAAUGCAACAAUAUUGGGCCAAUGACUUAAAAAGAGAAUUUUAAAAGGUACUAAUAAAAGAUAUUGGAGACAUUUCAUACAUGCUGUUGUUUUGGACUAGGUCUGUUAGAGAGCUUAAAAGAAACUUGACAGCUUUUUUUUAUGCUUUUUUUUGUUUUCAUUAAGUUCAUUGGUACAUUUUAGGUAUACAAUACAGUUACAUUCAUCAUUGGGAUCUUGUACCUGUACAUGAUGUAUCUUGGUUCUUAUUUUUUCCCCAUUCCCAUGCCCUCCCUAUUUACAGAGACUUUGUUUCCAUUUUUUCAUUUUCUCAUAUUUAUUCCUUUCCCUUCUUUCCUUUCCCCUAUCCCUCCCACUUCCCCUACCCCUUUAGAUUUUUUCUUCCUAUUUCACAUAUCAAUUUUGAUCCUUUUUGAUUUUUUGAUCUUUUUGAUUUUUUGAUCUUUUUGAUUCUUAGUCAAAACCAAAGGCAUCAAGAAAGAGAAUGAAAGUGUAGCAUGGCCUAAAAUCAUUUGGUGCUUUGGAAUAAAUCAAAUUUUAAUUCUUUUUCAGCCCAUCCAAAACACCUGGGAAAGGAAAACUAUUCAGUCUUAAAUUUAGAUUCUUUCCCUGGCUGGCUGCUCUCCCCACAGCUGGCUGUUCAGCAGGGAGCCCUCCUAGGCUUUGGUGUGUUGGGCAGCUUACUUUCUCCCAUUGCUGCUGUGACAACCUUCACAUCCUUUCACAGACUGGGAUUCAGCAAAAGGUGUAAGCAAAGUCAUUGUGAGCUUUCCGUGAAGAAACUGUUGAAUACACCGGUGGCUACUACAUAAGCUAACAGAUUUUUCAUUUUAAGGCAGCAGCAAUGUUUUCAAGAAGUAGAAGAUGGGAGGAAUCUCCAAUUUCCCUGUAACUGAUUUUGUAAAUUGCUAAAGCUUCACUAAAUAAUGAUGUACUCAAGAGGAACACAGUAUUAACAUUCCCCAAAUUACAAACACCCAUCUUAUGAAGUUCCCUGUGUGCAAAUGGCUGGAUGAAAACAGUCACUGUUUCCUGGGCUUCCCUCUUCUGUAGCCAGUUCCACCCUUAAUGUCAUUUGCCCGGCAGCAAUUUAGCUGUCUCAGGCUGGCAUCUCUUUCUGGUGGCUAACAGGAGCCACCUAGCUUCAUGCCCCUCUACCGUCUUCUUUUUUCCCUCUAAAAGAGAUCAUGUGCCAAAAUAUUUUUCUUUUUUUGUAAUUAUUAGUAGUAUAUCAAUUAGCUCUACUUUAACCAUCUUUCUUUGUCAGCCUUUCUAACUUUUUUCUCUUUUCUCCAAUCCUUUUCUAGUUACCGCACUCUCUUGUUAUUCUCUGUAUAUAUCUUUCUGCAUUUUGUUUAGUGUAUUUUGCUUAUUUUUUUUUUUUUGCAGUGCUGAGGCUCAAACCCAGGGUCUCAUGCAUGCUAGGCAAGCACUC